rnacentral:rRNA from 1 species
GGUUGACCUCGGAUUAGGUAGGAAUACCCGCUGAACU